GACAGAGGGGGCAAGCGUUGCUCGGAAUUACUGGGCGUAAAGGGCGCGUAGGCGGGAUGGCAAGUCGGUCGUGAAAUCCCUCGGCUCAACCGAGGAACGUCGAUCGAUACUGCUGUUCUUGAGGAUUGCAGAGGAGACUGGAAUUCCCGGUGUAGCGGUGAAAUGCGCAGAUAUCAGGAGGAACACCGGUGGCGAAGGCGGGUCUCUGGGCCGAUACUGACGCUGAGGAGCGAAAGCAUGGGUAGCGAACAGG
rnacentral:rRNA from 1 species